AAAAUGCUCUCCCACCUGCUUCUCCUGCUAGUACAAACAGAGGAUUUAUAUUUGAGCAUGUGGAGCCAAGAGAGUAGACUUCGAAAAUAUGGACAAACUCACUUCCAAGUUGAUUGGUGCCAUCUCUGGCCUGGAAAAGAAGAUUUGUCUUACGGUUUCAAUACAAUUGAUGAAUGAAUGAAUGACAAGAGCUGGAAAGCAGCAGGUGAAGAGAGCCAGCAUGUAAAAAGGAGAAAGCUGAAGGACAACAGCCUUGAAACCAAAGGAAAUGGUCAUGUAAAGGCUUGGGUUACUUUGUUAUAAUCAUGCUCUUCAGUCCUGAUUAAAGCUAUUAAAUAAU